rnacentral:rRNA from 1 species
UACGUAGGUGGCAAGCGUUGUCCGGAUUUAUUGGGUUUAAAGGGUGCGUAGGCGGUCUUUUAAGUCAGUGCUGAAAUAUCCCGGCUUAACCGGGAGGGUGGCAUUGAUACUGAAGGACUUUGAGUACAGUCGAGGUAGGCGGAAUUGACGGUGUAGCGGUGAAAUGCUUAGAUAUCGUCAAGAACACCGAUAGUGUAGACAGCUUACUAGGCUGAAACUGACGCUGAGGCACGAAAAGUGUGGGGAUCAAACAGG